rnacentral:pre_miRNA from 1 species
AAUAAACUAAUUUUUCACUUUUUAUCUAUAAUUUUUAACUCUUCAUCUUAUUAAAAAAAUUUUGCGAUUGAUAUUUUUGUUUUUAUUAGAUGAUAAAUCAUGAAUAGUACUUUACGUGUGACUAAUUUUUUUCUAAUUUCCUGAAAAUUUUUUAAAUAAGACGGAUGGUCAAACGUUGGACACAGAAACCGAAG